CCUACGGGAGGCAGCAGUGAGGAAUAUUGGUCAAUGGACGAGAGUCUGAACCAGCCAAGUAGCGUGAAGGAUGACUGCCCUAUGGGUUGUAAACUUCUUUUAUAUGGGAAUAAAAUGUUCCACGUGUGGGAUUUUGUAUGUACCAUAUGAAUAAGGAUCGGCUAACUCCGUUCCAGCAGCCGCGGUAAUACGGAGGAUCCGAGCGUUAUCCGGAUUUAUUGGGUUUAAAGGGAGCGUAGGUGGAUUGUUAAGUCAGUUGUGAAAGUUUGCGGCUUAACCGUAAAAUUGCAGUUGAUACUGGCAGUCUUGAGUACAGUAGAGGUGGGCGGAAUUCGUGGUGUAGCGGUGAAAUGCUUAGAUAUCACGAAGAACUCCGAUUGCGAAGGCAGUUCACUGGACUGCAACUGACACUGAGGCUCGAAAGUGUGGGUAUCAAACAGGAUUAGAUACCCUUGUAGUC
rnacentral:rRNA from 1 species